UCUCUGAUGGCUUUUGCUGCCAGCUCUGUGC
rnacentral:piRNA from 1 species